UUAUUGACAGAACAUGUCUUUAUUAACGCCGUCUGAGAGAUUCUUCAAUUAUUUGAUUGACACAUUGAAAAAAUACUGGUACUUGGUGUGUUACGAGAAUGCUAUUAAAACACAAAAUUACAGUCCACUAUAUUAUUGUUGCGAGGCGCUUUAUAUCCGGUGCUCUGUAUCCGGCAGGCGAUAUGCCCCGCUAGAAAUCGUUCAUUGGCUCGAUACGCUCGCUUCAUUUUACCGCCAGGCAGAAAGCAAAUCGCCGCUCGUGAACCUAAUUACUAUUAUGCAACCUGCACCGAUAGAGACCGAUCGCGGGACUUUAUGCCAUGAUGAAGUUGAUCAUUAUUUACGCAUACAAACGCGUCUCGCCUCAAUUAUUGUGACAUUUGCAUGCCAUAAAUUAUGCGGUCGGACAAAUUAGUAGCGACAGACCGGUCCGAUACAUUUUUAUACAGCAAACAAUGAUAAGUGAGUAUUUUUCGAUUUUACAUCUUCUACAUUAUUGCAGCUCUAUUAAUUAUUUUAAAAUUGUUCAUCCAAUAAUCAAGGGAUGCACUGCAAACG